GAUGAACGCUGGCGGCGUGCCUAAUACAUGCAAGUCGAGCGAACGGACGAGAAGCUUGCUUCUCUGAUGUUAGCGGCGGACGGGUGAGUAACACGUGGAUAACCUACCUAUAAGACUGGGAUAACUUCGGGAAACCGGAGCUAAUACCGGAUAAUAUUUUGAACCGCAUGGUUCAAAAGUGAAAGACGGUCUUGCUGUCACUUAUAGAUGGAUCCGCGCUGCAUUAGCUAGUUGGUAAGGUAACGGCUUACCAAGGCAACGAUGCAUAGCCGACCUGAGAGGGUGAUCGGCCACACUGGAACUGAGACACGGUCCAGACUCCUACGGGAGGCAGCAGUAGGGAAUCUUCCGCAAUGGGCGGGAGCCUGGCGGUGCAACGCCGCGUGAGUGAUGAAGGUCUUCGGAUCGUAAAACUCUGUUAUUAGGGAAGAACAUAUGUGUAAGUAACUGUGCACAUCUUGACGGUACCUAAUCAGAAGACCACGGCUAACUACGUG
rnacentral:rRNA from 1 species